GGAAGCACCGUUGAGUCUCUACUAUCAGCCCCUAGUUCGGAUCUGCCUCUCCAAACACCUUCUCCGGCGUCGAAUCCUAGUCGAUCGUUGACUAGACCCCAUUCAGAUUUAACGUCGGGCUCCCAUCAAGCUCAAAGUGCCUUCCUCUAAAGUUUGUCAUCAACUCUUUUAUCUAAUUCAUUUGAUUUUAUCUCUAUCUUAUCUAAUUUCAAUACUGAUAAUUUUGAGGUUUCUUUUAUUAUUUUGUGAAUUCUUUAGAUUUCUUUAGUGUAGAAGUAUUCUCUUUUUUUUUACUGAUGUUUUCUAGGCCUCCUUGUCUUGCUUAUUUUGGAUUUUGGUUUUGGAGAUAGAGAAGGGAAAUGGCUGGAGGAGGAGCAAUGCCACCAAAGCAGGAUGAGUUGUAGACUCGUUCAGUAAAGAAGUAGCUCCCAAUGUCUCCUACUGCAUCACGCCCCCUCCCCUCCCCGGGGCAUAAGAUUUUAUUUUUUGUGAUUUUCUUGAGGGUUAUUUGUUUGUAGAUAUGUGGCUGAUUUAUUAAAUGAGAGGCAGAAGUUGGCUUCCUUUAUUCAGGUUCUCCCAUUACGUGCUAGGCUUCUCAAUCAAGGGUUCAUCUUGGAUAAUCAAGAAUGAGAGUAUGACGAACUCAUAGAGAGUUUCAACUGGUGGCAGAGAUUCUCAAGAAGGGAUGCAGAGGAGUCAUGCAAUUGUACUCAUUUUUUGUAAUGAUUUAUAAUUUUUAUUAUUGUACUGAUUAUUUUUAUUUC